UAUGCUCUAGUUUAGGAAGAAUUUUUGUUUUUGGUGCAAAGGGGUGUGGGCGUAA
rnacentral:tRNA from 1 species